AUGGAACUGCCCUUUUCUACUCCAGAAUAAAAGGACUCGUGACAACAUUUACAUUUAGUCAAGAUAGGGAGUUCCCACGUUGAAAUGGCUGGAACUCUAAACCUUUCAACAAAAAAGAAGUACUACUCGAUGCCAAAGAGACCCGGAGUAAGCUGGACGUCUCGAAUGGUUAAGACCAGAAAAUAUGGAGCUGACGCUACAUGUUGAAAUGAUUAAGAACUACAAUUCUACCAAAGGACCUGACCAGAGAACGUGGAGAUCAUUCCCACAUUGAAAUGGCAAAGAAAUCUACAAACUAAAGAAUAAUUAUUCAGACAGCAGCUGUUUAAAUACUUUAGUCUGGUAAAUGCAUCCGAUUCUAAGAACAAUACUGAAUGGUACUCUGAAGUAUCCAUUCUAACUACGACAGACUCUGACUUAUGGGGAAUGCAACCAGAGACUUUUCUGACGACUCUCUCCAGCAGAUGGACCGGCGACCACAGAGAGAGACAACAAGACAUAUGCUCCGCUGUCAUCAUCAAGACGCGUCCCACUGAAUGUCCUGAUCAGAUCAGUCCAGUUCCCUGGGUAUCACAGAAACUUCUGACACUCAAGAGUGCCCCAAGGUAAUCUGCUGUGGCUGAACCAAGACACUCCAUUGGGAUCAGUUAGAGCAUGGGUGACAGAGCAUGGGUCGUCCAUCUCACAUCAACACUAUCAUGCGCGCGUACGCUCGAGCGCACACACACCCUAACAUCCCUCUUCUUCUCCACUGAAUUAAGACAGACUUACCUCCGAGGUGGGACAUAGAAAAAUAGAAAAAACCCCAG
rnacentral:lncRNA from 1 species